AAUCAAGAAAUGAAUAAUCAUAUAUGGUUUCGACCCAUAAUUAGGUAUUUAUAUUACCCUUGAUUC
rnacentral:tRNA from 1 species